rnacentral:tRNA from 1 species
UAAUUGUCUAAUAUAUUUAUUAUAUCUUACUUCCAAUAAGAAAAUCCUCCGGGGACAAUUAA